rnacentral:misc_RNA from 1 species
CAGUGUAAUGCAGGAUAUUGAGGAAAAACUCUUGGUCAAUUUUUCCAGCUUAAGUAAUAUUCUUUUGAUUUUAAGGUGGUUACUAAAUAAACCCAUUUAACAUGUAACCAUGGCCCAUUGGCCCUCCCUCCACUGGGGAAUACGCCGACAAACACACUGUCCCUGAACAUAGGAAGAGCUCUAGCUGCCACAUUAGUGUUUUUUUCAAAAAAAAAAUC